GACGAACGCUGGCGGCGUGCUUAACACAUGCAAGUCGAACGGAAAGGCCCUGCUUUUGUGGGGUGCUCGAGUGGCGAACGGGUGAGUAACACGUGAGUAACCUGCCCUUGACUUUGGGAUAACUUCAGGAAACUGGGGCUAAUACCGGAUAGGAGCUCCUGCUGCAUGGUGGGGGUUGGAAAGUUUCGGCGGUUGGGGAUGGACUCGCGGCUUAUCAGCUUGUUGGUGGGGUAGUGGCUUACCAAGGCUUUGAAGGGUAGCCGGCCUGAGAGGGUGACCGGCCACAUGGGGACUGAGAUACGGCCCAGACGCCUACGGGAGGCAGCAGUGGGGAAUAUUGCACAAUGGGCGGAAGCCUGAUGCAGCAACGCCGCGUGCGGGAUGACGGCCUUCGGGUUGUAAACCGCUUUCGCCUGUGACGAAGCGUGAGUGACGGUAAUGGGUAAAGAAGCACCGGCUAACUACGUG
rnacentral:rRNA from 1 species